AGGGAGGCCUGGAUGGACCUCGCUGUAAACAUGGCUAAAGAAGCACUAGAGAGUGGUGAAGUACCUGUUGGUUGCCUCAUGGUCUACAAUAAUGAGAUCAUAGGGAAGGGAAAGAAUGAAGUUAAUGAAACUAAAAAUGAAAAGUUGCAGUUUACUGACAGUAUUCCAUUCACAAAAUGCAUGCAUGUUUUUUUUGUGGCUGUGGUUUUUUUAAGCUCUGGUAUCUGUGCCUGAGUACAAAAUGUGAGAGAUGAUCUUGAGCUGGAUUGUACGGUAUGUUGAACGGCAUAAUAGACUUGUUUUAAUCUGCAGCUGGGGGAGUUUUCCUUUUGGAUAGUGCAGCCAAUACUUCUCUGAGGUGACCCUUCUGAAUUGUCUGGCAGGAGGUGGAGCAAAUAUUACCAGCAUGUUUUUCCCUCUGGCAGCUUCCUUGCCUGCUCUUGUUUUCCCUCCAACAUGCUUCUGUUUCUGUUUGAACGUGCACUGUUCUUUUUGGCUGUAACAGUUAUCUGGCAUGCUAAACCUCACUUGCAAGCAUAACCUGCCCACCCACCUGGUUUGCCCUUGAAGAUGUUUCAGCGAUAACCUCUGGCAUCCAGUUUGGUCAUCUGAGUAUGCAUAUAUUACAUAGCACAGCAAAGCUAACAGAGCUCUAUGAGCUGCUCAUGAUCAAGGGCAAAAUUCAAAGCAUCAAGGUAACAGUGUAACAAUAUUACCUUGGUAGAAGGGAGACCAAGUACUUCCAUGGAUUGUGCAUGUGGUGAUGGCAAUAUCACCGCACAGGAUGCAUAUUAGGAUGCAUUAUUUCAAAUAAACUGUGUCCAAGAUAUGUAGGACUUCUAUGAUCAAACUUUUACAUGUGUGUGUGGGAGUUCCUAUGUCUGUUCACCUCCUGAGAAGUAAGAUAUUUUGUGUAGAGACAAUUGUGCACUGCCCUGAACACGUGCUUAACUUAUCCUAUACCCACAAAUACACUCUCUCACAGAAUUGCUCCAAAAAGAGUUAAUUUAUAGAAAAAUAACAAGAUAUUUCUAAUAAGAAUUAGCUAGUGUGGUAAAGCAUGAAAUCACGGUGCAUUUAAACCAGUAUCCUAACACAUUAACUCAAGGACAAAAGUGGUAAGGACCUAACAGAAGCAGAAGACAUCAAGAAGAGGUGGCAAGAAUACACAGAGGAAUUAUACCAGAAAGAUAUGGAGGUCUCGUACACCUCAGGUAGUGUGGUUGCUGACCUUGAGCCAGACAUCUUGGAGAGUGAAGUCAAAUGGGCCUUAGAAAGCACUGCUAAUAACAAGGCCAGUGGAAGUGAUGAUAUUCCAGCUGAACUAUUUAAAAUUUUAAAAGAUGAUGCUGUUAAGGUGCUACACCCAAUAUGCCAGCAAGUUUGGAAAACUCAGCAAUGGCCAGAGGAUUGGAGAAGAUCAGUCUACAUCCCAAUCCCAAAGAAGGGCAGUGCCAAAGAAUGCUCCAACUACCGCACAAUUGAUGCUUUUGAAUUAUGGUGCUGGAGGAGACUCUUGAGAGUCCCAUGGACUGCAAGAAGAUCAAACCUAUCCAUUCUUAAGGAAAUCAGCCCUGAGUGCUCCCUGGAAGGACAGAUCGUGAAGCUGAGGCUCCAAUACUUUGGCCACCUCAUGAGAAGAGAAGAAUCCUUGGAAAAGACCCUGAUGUUGGGAAAGAUGGAGGGCACUAGGAGAAGGGGACGUCAGAGGACAAGAUGGUUGGACAGUGUUCUCGAAGCUACGAACAUGAGUUUGACCAAACUGCGGGAGGCAGUGCAAGACAGGAGUGCCUGGCGUGCUAUGGUCCAUGGGGUCACGAAGAGUCGGACACGACUAAACGACUAAACAACAACAACAACACAUUAACACUCCCUGUCUGACAGUCUGUCCCUUGUUUUAUAGGACUAGCAUGAUGAUAAGAAUAGUUUCAAAUGCAUAUAUACCUUAAAUUCCCCCUUAGUUACUGCUGUAGUGAAGUAGUUGCCCAUUCCCACCCUUGGAGGCUAUCAGCGUAGCUGGAGGGGCUAAAGAAUAAGAUGUGUGUGGCAAAUUCAUUCACAAGAAUGGGUUCCAUGUGAGUCCCCACAAGGAGGAGAUUGGGAGGGAAAAAGCUGUGCUGCAAUAGCACACCUCUCCUCCAAUAUGCGGAUCAUGACUGGAUUCAUAAAAGGGAAGUACAAGAACUGAUAGGGCUAUUAGGUGUGUAGGGGUGCUGUGAACUGCCCUGAAAUCUUCGGAUGGGCAGUAAACAAAUUUUAAUAAUAAUAAUAAUAAUAAUAAUAAUAAUAAUAAUAAUAAUAGUGUUAGCUCUGGGAGAAAGAAGGUGGCUGAACAUUUCCUGGAGUGCUUGACGCUGUUCAUGGUGUCUGCUGAUCCUGAUCUUUUGGAAGGCUGGCUAAAAUAUACAUUCAUUUGCAAAGCUGUCUUAUAACAUUGGUUUACAGACAAAUGCAUAAGAUACUAAUAAUUCUGUUAUCAGUUAUUAUUUUUUUUAGAUCUCUACUUUGAUCUGAAAUCAUUUGUGGAACAAGUUAUUGCAAGGCAAACAGUCUACCUACCUGAAGGGAUUUAAAACAAUGUUCAUAAAACUUUAGCAUAUUAAGUCAGAACAGUAAUAAAUCUACCCAAUGAUUAAUUUGCUUUCUGUCUUUGAUCGCUAUCUUAACAGCAAGAGAGUGGUAAAGAAGUGGAAUUCAAUGAAAUAUAUAAGCUUCAUUUAUCUUAAACAAAGCAGCCUUAAAAAGCCUUAAACUUCUCUUAUCAAAAUAUGUUUUCUGUUUUGUCACUAAAUGGUAUAUUAAAGCAUUUAGGCUAGUGCACCAACUGCAGUUCCUAUCCAUGCUCUUGUUAAUAUCCUAUUCAGGCAAGUAUAAUGUUUUGUACAUGGGGUUGUAUUUGAGGAAUGGACAUAACAGUAAGUUCAUUAUGCAGUGGCUAGACUGCUAAGUGAGAACUGACAUCCAGAUCAUAACUUGCCAGCCUUGAAAUAACUGCUCCAAAUCUAUUUCUGAGCACAAUCCUUUGGGCUGGUUUUAGUCUCUAAAGGCUGAAAUGACUUUGAAUCUUGGGUACCUUCUCCUACUUGAAUCUGUUCAAAUAUGACAAUGAUCCUCAGAGCCUUUUCUCUGGUCCUACUGCCAUUGGAGGUGAAGCCAGAUCAAGGGUUGUAGCCUCCGAGCACUGAAGUGUUUAAGUGUUUUCCCCAGAGACAUUGAGUCUGCUCUUUUUAUCUUCCCAAAUCUUUAAAUUCUUGUUUUUUGAAUCCUGUUCCCCCCCCCUCUCUCUCUCUCUGUGUGUGUGUGUGUGUGUCUUGUUGUUCCUAUUUUAAAUGAAUUUUUAUGUAAGCCUUGUCAGCUUAUGAGCAGGGUAAAGAAUACCAAAAUGUAAAUAAAUGAAUGAAAUGGAGGUAUUUGGUCUGUCUGUGAACAAUACUGACAUUCUGUUGAGCCUAGGAGCAUUUUCAAAUGCUCCUAAUUUAAAGUGACUAUCGAUAGAAUAUGUGAACAUGCCUAAAGCUGUUGAAAGAGGGAUGGUGUCUUCUGUGGUAUCCUUUGAGCUCUUAUGACUAGUAGGUCUCAUCGCCUCCCUCAUAUUUAUUCAUAGACUGAGUUAGAUACAAAAUAUGGAUGUUGAUAUCUUGACAAGUAGGAAAAGCAUUUUGCCUGUAGCUGAGCAUUUCUACCCAACUGGCCACUUUCUGUCUGACCUCUCUGUCCUUGCAUAAAUGUGAAUCUGGGUAAAAACCGGAAUGUUUUCAAUAAUGGAAAAGCUGAUUAACAUAACAUUUGUUAACCGAGGAUAAAGAGAAACAGAUGUAUUGUGUGUUUUCCCUUUAUAACAGAUGUUGAUAAGGAAGAACCUUUCAAUAAAGUGCCAACAACAUACACUGCUUUUCUAUUUUACAAGAGGAAAUUUACUUCUUUGAAAUGAAAUUUCUGCAGUUAUUAGGGCCAUCUUCUAUAUGGUUUUAGUUGUUAAGCUUUGGCAUCACUGAAGAUCCUACCCUAUUGCCUUCCUACUAAAAGUAGCAGGAAUCCAUCCAUUCAGAUCGAUACAUUACUAUUUGGUGUAAACACUGAUGUUAUUUCCCUGUAUCCCCACAGGCUACUCGCCAUGCAGAAAUGGUAGCAAUUGAUCAGGUCAUGGACUGGUGUCGUCAGAACAAGAAGGAACCCAAGGAAGUAUUUGUGAACACAGUGCUAUAUGUCACUGUUGAGCCCUGUAUAAUGUGUGCAGCUGCUCUGCGAAUGAUGAGUAUCCUUUGGAAAAUUAUCCAUUGGUGUGCUAAUUUCAUCUCGCGUAUCGGUUGCUAACAAGCUAACAGAGGGCAGCUCUUUGUUGCCAUGAGGUCUGUGUCAUUGGGUCUAAGGGGAUUCGUUUGUGCAGAGAUGAUGGGCGUAAGGAGAGCUGUGCUGGACAAGUUCAAAGACGUAACUUGUCCAGCAUCUGUUUCCUACUGUGCUGAGCCAGAUCCUAAGAAAGCCAACAAGCAGAGUGCAUUGCUAUGUCCCUCUCCCUCUGUUAUUCCCCAGGUUCUGGACCUAUGGAGAAGAAGUUUAAUUUAGCAAGUAUUUGUGUGGGUGAGUCGAAGCAAGGAAUGGGUGUCGGGUGUAGCCAAAGCUACAAUGAAGCAGGGUGAGGCAGCUUGCAUCAGGUGGCAGUCUUUGGGGUUAUCAUGACUUAGUUUAUAAUUAUUACCUUCCCUGUGUGGUGCUUGUGCCUCAGGGGCCUAAGUGUAUUGUGCCAUCUCUGCUCUGGGUUAGGAUAGGGUUGUAAUAUUUCAAUAAGUAAAAUUCCUGACACCAGCAAAGUGGUUGAGCAAGCAUAACCUGCCCACCCAGCUGGUUUGCUCUUGAGGACCCCAACAUUGUUUAGCUUUCUUUGGGAACAAACCUACAUUGCUGAGCUUUUGGGGGGAAACCUCCCCUCCCCCCAAAAAUAGUGACUUUAAGCUUCUGGAGCUGUUUCCACUGCUUUCCCCCCCCAUCACGUUGCCAUACAUCUGGGUUUUCCCUGACAUUUUGACCCCCCCCCCCCGGACAUAAUCUUUACACCCGAAAACCAGGAUAUGUCAGGAAUUUUCCUGACAUAUGGCAAGCCUAGGUUAAGAAAUUUGGAAAGGAUACAGUAGUGGUAGUUAUUUCUCUCUCAGAUUGUGGGGAACAGUGAAUUAGCAGCAAAUGAGUUGAAUUGAGUGGGGGAAGUUUUGCCCAGAGAUAUGACCAGGCAGUAGUGUGUCUGUGGAAAAGAGGCAUUUUUGAGACCAGCACAACUAUAUAACCUAUUAAAUGAGGGUAAUUCUAUUCUAUACUCCUUCUUUUCUUAACUUACAUAUAUAAAUCCCACUGGUUGUAUAUGGCUGCCAAAAUGAACGAUUCGGAGGCUGUGGUUCGGUUUUGAACAUCUCUUAUGCUACCUUAACGGACACAGGGGAACCAUUCCAGUUGAACACAGUGAUGUCAGAAGUCACACCUGCUGAAGUUCUUUAUGCUACUAAAGAGUCAGAUAACCUCUUUGGGAUACAUGGUUAAUCUGGGAGGCCUUAUGAACAAAAUAUUCCAAUCUCUACAGUGCAUAGCUGGUUAUCGAUCUGAAGAAGCAGUUGAAAUGCUGAAAACCUUCUACAGACAAGAAAAUCCAAAUGCACCAAAAUCAAAAGUUCGAAGAAAGGAAUGCAGUAAAUGAGUGGUUGUGAUGGAUAGUAAAGCAAAACUGGAAGAAUGACAAGUCUUUGAAAAGGCUGGCUAGUAUUGACCUUCCCUCAGCUAUGGUAUUUAGCCCUGAGAGGUGGAGAAAAGCAUGUCUGUUACUCUGUAAAAUGUCCAAAAGUAUCACUGAUUGAAAGAUAAUAAUCAAAUUGUCAAAUAUGGCUUUUGGUUAAAAUGUUUGGCUUUUUAUAAGGAACAAUAGAAAGGAGGGGUAUCCUUCAAUAAUUAAAUAGUUAAGAUGACACUGUUGUAGCCCUACUAAUUUUGAACUGAUCAGCUGGAAGACCAACUACCCCAAGUCCUUAGUUUGGCAGGUAUGCUGACUUCUUGCCACUGAUGCCAGACACAUACUGGCCAGUGCACAUACAAAGUUCUGUUUGCAUUUAAACCACUUAACAACAUACAAAAAUUCAGUGGUCUCAGAGUUCUGCAUGCCCCAUCUGCCAGAACAGAACCACCACAUCCACUCAUGGCACCAACAGCUAGAAACCUUUGUGAGCAGUGGCUGUUAUGUCGAAAACUGUCAUGAGGACGUGUCUUAUUAGCUCUAGGACAUACAUAGCUGUCAUAUUGAGUCAGACCAUUGGUCUCUCUAGGCCAGGAUUAAGUAUUCUGAUUGGCAACACCUACGGGGUACUUAACUGGAAACAGAGGGAUGAAGUUGGGACCUUCUUCCCAUAAAACGUGCUCUUCCACUAUGCUGCAGCCCUUUCCCUUGUAUCCUAGACAGAUUUAUGGUUGGUAUUACUUAAAAGUAAACCUGCUUUCCUCAUCACUUUGUAGCGCACGUUUCCAAUGUAUACAUAAUUUGGAGGAAUUUGAAGGUAAGCUAGCAAAUCCCAGACAACGGCUUGUUUAUCUUGAGCUCAGUUAAGACAUUCAUGAUUAAGAAAGCUUAGCUAUGGUUUGUUCAUGAUGUCUGAGUUGACAAACCAUGGUUUAUGACCAUGUUUGGUCAUGUGUACUUUCUCAGGUAACGUUGCCACUACAGUUAGCAAACAGUUUAUUAUUACUGUAUAUUCCUACGUAUAAGACUACUUUUUAACCCAGAAAAAUCAUCUCAAAAUUUGAGGGUUGUCUUAUACUCUGGGUCGUAUUUCUUAUACAACGAGUAUAUCCCAAACUCUAUAUUUUAACUGGAAAAGUUGGGGGUCGUCUUAUACGUCCAGUCGUCUUAUACGCUGGAAUAUACGGUAUAUGCUUGUGAUAGAAAACUGCCUUGAAAACGGAAGUCUAGCAUACCCAGUAUUUUUUGAAUGAAUAUUCUGUUUCAUAAGAUUUAUAUAUUGCUUUAUUGUAGUAGUAGUAGUAGUAAUAAUAAUAAUAAUAAUAAUAAUAAUAAUAAUAAUAAUAGGUCAAAGAGGAAUAUCGAGAAGUAGAUUUCCAGAGGAACUUUUCUUAGUAUAAGGUAACUAGGCAGGAAAAUGCCUAAAUCUCAGAGCUGGCACUUCAGUGCUUAUUGGGUUGUUCCUUGAUCGUAUUAUGAUUACACUCCAGAAGAGGGCCUUGCUGUUCUAAUAAUGAAUGGCCCAGCAGUUUGACAUGGAGCUCUUAUUCCUGCAGAAUGUGCAUGCUGAGCAACUCAGCAGGCUGGGAAGCAGUCAAGCAGUGCCUUAUAGAUUUGUAUAUUAUGGACAAUUCCAAUAGUUAGACAAGUCAGAACCACAGUUGUUGCACUAUUUUUAUUUCUCUAUUAAAUAGAUAAACAAAUUCUGAAAUAGGGUGAAACCUGUCCCCCCUCCACGUUAUUAUGAGCCUUCAUAUCUCUACGCAGGCACAACAAGAAGCAUAAAUAUGAACAACAAACAAAUGAAAGGCUUAUUGAACCAAUAUUGAAAGCCUUGUUGUAGCCUCAUCAGUUCUUCCCUUUGCAUACAACAAAGUGACACUCUUACAAGGCAGCUAUUUAAAGAAGCAAGUUGCUCCUUAUAAUUUAAACAUUUGAAAGUCUGCAGGGCUCUCCAUUCAAAUACUGUAUAUGCAACGUGGCCUUUAAUUACCUUGGCAGGUUUUGAGCGCUGAUAAAAGAUUGUAUUUUUAAAAAACCUCCCCCAAAAGUGUCCAAUGGUUGGCAGGCAAUCCAUUCCAGGGUUGUAUUUGGAGCAAGACUAGCAGGAGAGCUUUCAGCUAAGGGCUCAGUUUAAACAGCAACUGUUAGGUUUUUAAAGAAAAUGGCUUUGACACAAACGGGGAAAGAGCUCCGAGGACAAUUAGAGUCCCAGAAGCAGCUGUUUUAUUAAUUUGCUUUGCCUUGUGUGUAGCCUUGGCUGCUGGUUCUAUCUACUUUUAUCAAUAAAGUACAUCUAGAAACAGGACACUUCCCACUGAAAUAUAUUCUCCAACAUGACUUUUGUUUUUAGGCUGUUUUCACACACACACACACACACACACACACACACACACACACUUUUUAGUGUGUGUAAAAAAGAGAGAAAUGCCAAGAAAUAUCAGCUAAGAUCCAAAGAACCACAGAAAUGUAAGAAAUCAAGCAACAGAUCUCUCUCCUGCAGGCCAAACUGCUUUGGAAACCAACGUAAGCUGCAGAAGCGGUUUGUAACAAGGCAGGCACCUUGGUUUCCUGCACAAAGGAGAAGUCAAUUGAUCCACUUUGGUUUUUGCAAAUAAAAGGAUUGAUUGACUUCUUUGUGAAGAAGAGCAGUCAUCACCAAAAAAGGCAUUGUACAAAUUAUAGGCUUUAAAUCAAAACCCUUUACAUCUUCUCAGCAGGAUAGCUCUUUACCAGAUGUUCACUUUGAGAAGACACAGCACUAGGCGUAACACACUUGUUUCUAGUUUUCUCAAGUGCCACCUUAUACAGUGGUGCCUCGCUUAACGAAUGCCCUGCUUAACGAAAUUUCCGCUUAACGAAAGAAUUUUUCGAGCGGAGGUUGCGUCGCUAGACGAAUUCGUUUUAUGAAAAAUUCGUCUAGCGAAUCGCGGUUUCCCAUAGGAAUGCAUUGAAAUUCAAUUAAUGCGUUCCUAUGGGCAAAAAAAAAAUUCAAAAAAAUUCAAUGCAUUCCUAUGGGAUUCGCUAGACGAAUUUUUCGUUAUGAGAAAAGACCCGUGGAACGAAUUAAAUUCGUCUAGCGAGGCACCACUGUACAGAACUGUUUUAUUGGUCAAAAAACUAAUCCUGUUGAAUAAUACCUAAGAACUCUGUGUAUGCAAAGUCUUGGAUAGUGAACUAUAGUUCCAUGUGCUUAUCGCAGUUUGCUUUCGCUCUGUACACACAGCUCUGUUGGAAAAACAGUCAAUCUGCCAGUUUUACUGGAAGGA